UCGGGAAUUUUGGGCAAUGGGCGAAAGCCUGACCCAGCAACGCCGCGUGAAGGAUGAAGUAUUUCGGUAUGUAAACUUCGAAAGAAUAGGAAGAAUAAAUGACGGUACUAUUUAUAAGGUCCGGCUAACUACGUGCCAGCAGCCGCGGUAAUACGUAGGGACCAAGCGUUGUUCGGAUUUACUGGGCGUAAAGGGCGCGUAGGCGGCAAUUCAAGUCAUCUGUGAAAUCUCCGGGCUUAACUCGGAACGGUCAGAUGAUACUGCUUUGCUAGAGUGCAGAAGGGGCAAUCGGAAUUCUUGGUGUAGCGGUGAAAUGCGUAGAUAUCAAGAGGAACACCUGAGGUGAAGACGGGUUGCUGGGCUGACACUGACGCUGAGGCGCGAAAGCCAGGGGAGCAAACGGGGAUUAGAUACCCGAGUAGUCCCUGAGCGGGCUGGCAAGGCGCAU
rnacentral:rRNA from 1 species